CAGGAACCAAUGCCUAGAUGUUUUGAGGGGUAUUACUGGAAAGGGGAGAUUCAAGAUGCGACGGAAAUUCUGAUGUUGGUGAAGACGAGGACCUCGAAGACCCAAAGGCUCAUAGACUAUGUCAAGUCUGUGCAUCCCUAUGAGACUCCAGAGGUGCUUAGUUUCCCUGUGGAGGACGGGAGCCUGCCCUAUUUGAAGUGGGUGGAUGAGGCUGUUCCUGACGACUGACCAGUGAGGAGAA